CGUGCUUGGAGUCGGCAGCUAUACAAGUAUAAGCAAACAAAACUCCAACUUUACCUUGCCAAAUAAACCAAGGAAUCUCGAAGUCAUUUCAACAAAUAAGACCUGGAUCUCCCUGAAAUGGGAUGUACCAGACAAAUCAGAGGGUGUGACGAUACUCUACAAUGUGAGCUACAAGACUAAGUUUUGGGGGGAAUCAAUGACUGUCCCCAAUGUCAAAGCCACCAAUGUCACACUGGAAAACUUAAGGCCUGGAACAACAUAUGACUUUACUGUCAAUGUAUUUGCUGGAAACCGGUCCAGUGAAGGUGUUUCAGUCUCAGGCAAGACAGUACCAAACAUAAGGAACAUCACAUUUACGAUGCUGUGCUCCUCCAAUCAAACUCUGGGCUGUUGGAAAGACGCUGCCCAAACCAAACUUUUAGAGACGGUGAGGCAUGAGCAUCAGACUAGAGGCUUGGAUUGUUGCUGUUCUAGGGUUUAGGCGUGCACCGUGCUGCUAAACACAUUAUGAACAGACAUAAGAGAAGAUUCAGCUUUGAAUAGAGUAAAAAA